rnacentral:rRNA from 1 species
ACUGCUCAGUAACACGUGGACAACCUGCCCUUAGGUUGGGUAUAAACCCGGGAAACUGGGUAUAAUACCCGAUAGGUCUCGAUUGCUGGAAUGCAUCGAGAUUUAAAGCUCCGGCGCCUAAGGAUGGGUCUGCGGCCUAUCAGGUAGUAGUGGGUGUAGCGUACCUACUAGCCUACGACGGGUACGGGUUGUGAGAGCAAGAGCCCGGAGAUGGAUUCUGAGACACGAAUCCAGGCCCUACGGGGUGCAGCAGGCGCGAAAACUUUACAAUGCUGGCAACAGCGAUAAGGGAACCUCGAGUGCCAGGUUACAAAUCUGGCUGUCGAGAUGCCUAAAAAGCAUUUCAUAGCAAGGGCCGGGCAAGACCGGUGCCAGCCGCCGCGGUAACACCGGCGGCUCGAGUGGUAACCGUUAUUAUUGGGUCUAAAGGGUCUGUAGCCGGCCGGAUAAGUCUCUUGAGAAAUCUGGCAGCUUAACUGUCAGGCUUUCAGGAGAUACUGUCUGGCUCGAGGCCGGGAGAGGUGAGAGGUACUUCAGGGGUAGGGGUGAAAUCUUGUAAUCCUUGAAGGACCACCAGUGGCGAAGGCGUCUCACCAGAACGGACCUGACGGCAAGGGACGAAAGCUAGGGGCACGAACCGGAUUAGAUACCCGGGUAGUCCUAGCCGUAAACGAUACUCGCUAGGUGUCGGCCACGGUGCGACCGUUGUCGGUGCCGUAGGGAAGCCGUGAAGCGAGCCACCUGGGAAGUACGGCCGCAAGGCUGAAGCUUAAAGGAAUUGGCGGGGGAGCAC